ACAGCCAGAGCAGGCAUCGGAGAGCUCACGCGGGCCGAGGGCGCGCGACUGGGGAUGCUGGCCCGGGUUCUUUUAAGACGGGUUCUGGACACAAGCGACGGCAGCUUCCGCGACCCCCAUCAGCCCCGCCUCACUCUGGACACCGGGCUGUGAGCUCUGGGACGCGCCCAACUUGGAAAGCGUCUUGCUUGCCCAGCGCGCGCUACUUCUCGGACGAGCACCCGGCGGCGGGGCACAUGCUGCCCCCGCCCCUGCGCGCCUGCGGCUCCCGGCUCUCCCUCCCCUGCGCCGCGCUCUCGCCUCGCUUUCCGCGGGAGCCUUCCAACCGGUUCUCGGCUAGGGAGAAGGACGGGAGCGGUGGGAAGAGCGAGGGUGUAGAGAGGGAAGUUAGGGCUUUCGCUUUCUCCCCCCACUCCAGCGGCGGCGUUCGGUCCUCUGGGUGGAAUGUGCUCGCAGCAGCAGUGACGGCGGCCACAGCACGGGAGGCACCCGAGCCAUACACCCUGCAGCUGGAGAGAAAAGGAUGGCCGAGGUGGGAGAGACUAGAGUGAACCAGCAGGAGGAAGUCCCAGGGCCGCGAAGCUACGACGGAGAUCCGUCCUGGAAAAGCCUUCUCCACCCUGGGCACUUUAAGCGGCGGUGGCGGCAAACGGCAGGAGGUUGCAGACCCGACAGCGAGACUCCCUCAUUCCAGUCUUGCUCUGCCCUCCGGAGAUGACAAGUGAGAAAGAAGUGUCCGGCCGGGCCAUCCCCUUCAGGUAGAUGAAGCUCUGGGUUUGCUCCAUAUCCCAAGGGGGAGAGCCGAAGUGCGUAUGUCCGAGCGCGUGUGCAUGUGUGUGCGCGUGUGUGCGUGUGUGUAUAUACACAGGCUUCGGGUUUAGAUUGCCAGGGCUACUCCAGCUGCAUUGAGGGACUGAAACUCCCAGAGAAAGGCAAAGGAGAGGGAGCGCGCGAGGAGGCAGGAAAGGCGGGAGGGAGGGGAGCGACUGAGCGGCAGAGGCAGGCACUGGGAGAUUAGAGAGCUUUUCUCCGCUCUGUCACACCAGACACCCACAGCCACAGAGGGGGUUGCUGAGCCGCCUGCAAGAAGUACAUUGUAAAUCUUCAGCGCAACAAGCCCCGCAGUCACCCCUCUUCCUGACUCCUUAGCCCCACCGCGCUCCAGGGAGAGAUCCUUGGAGCCUUUGGCUAUUAACAUAGAGAGCAAAAGAAGAUCCUGCUAGGGAGAUGUGGCUGUGUCAGAUUUCACAUCAAGCUCGCCAGAGGAUUUGGAGGAUUGUAUGUAAAUUGAAAUAAAUUCUCCAAAACCUGACUACAUAUAUUACAUUAUACUGUGCGAUGUGUCCAGGUGUGCAGUACUAAAAUAAUGUUAGCAAUGAAGCAUUAAAAUCCUCCGGAAGUAAAGGCCAAAGCAAGGUGAUGUUUUCCCCAUAGGAUAAUUCCCAUCUUUAGAUUGGAGAAACGAUUAACACACAAUGUCUACAGUGUAACAUUCAGGACCAAAACCCUGAGACUGAGAAAAGCUGGGCUUAUUAGAACGGUGAACGAAUACAUUCCAUGAUUGGUCAGUUUUUCAUUUCACCUAGCCAUAAUUACUUUCUUGCAGCUUUCCAGUGUUACCAUGAACAUUGUUUUAACUUUGUUAGGAUAGUUAUCAAUAGACCAGUUUGCUGACAGCAGGCAGCAUCAAAAUAGGUUCAUAGCCCAUUGGCUGGUUAUGGACUCUUGUCUGAGUAUAUUGGAGUUUAAAAUUAUACUGCAGAGUAUGUAUAAGUAUGUGGGAUAUCCAACCUUCAGAAUUUGUGCGAAGAACUCUAAUUGGAACAAUAUUCAGAAAACAGCCACCCCAAAGGUGACAUCUAGGAAGCAGGAGUCUCCAGUGUUUAGUAAAACAAAGUGUGAUUGGCUUCUGGGUUAAUUAAAAAAGUGAAUAAUAGAAAAUUAGGUAAUUCCUUUUUACAUGUUUCUUUCAUGUCUUCAAAUCUUGAAGGCAUUUUACAAAUCAUGUCCAUAGCUAUUUUCUUACAAAAAGAACUGGUUAAUGCUUCUGGCUUUGGAGUACUGAAAAUAGACAAUUAAAAUAUUGUGUUUGGCUUUAAAAGCAUGACCAAAGAGAAGAGACCAAUUACACAUUAACCUUAGCUUGAUAACCACUAAAAACACAGCCCUGCUCGAGGAAGCCCUUUUUCAUUUAUCCCCAGAUGGGAUACAUGCUCAAUGCCAUGCAUUCUAAAUGUCCAUUUGAAUCAUUUUUAAAUGAUGAUGAAAAUAAGUGCCAGGGUGGGAUUUUUUAAGCAUGUUGUAUGUGGGCCGUUAGCAACAGACCAAGGGAAAUGCCACAUUCUGUUCAAGUUACUUUUUUCUGCUCUGUUUUUAAAUGUCUGUACUCUUGCUGUCCAUAUGUAUCUGGCUGUAUGCAUUUUAAGAGUUGAGGAGUUGGGGUUCAUUGGUUUGUUUUCACAGAAUCAGGAACUAUAGUGCAAGCAAGUAAGAGGAGCCCUGCGAUCCUCAGCAGGUCACCAGACUUCUCUGACUUUAGGGUUUUAAACUGGUAAUUUAGUAUUACUGAUCCAAUAUCCAUGGAUUGAGUACAUUUGAUUAUCAGAGGCUUCUGGAAUCAUCCCGGGGAGUCUAAGACCCACUGCCUAAAGGAAGAGGUUACCCACUAAGGGAUCUUUAAGACUUUCUCUUUCUAAAACAUUAGUCAAGAAAAGAUUCAAAGAAGGCUUUUUCUGUUUGUCUUUUUUUAAAAAUGUGUACAAAUUUGUGGGAUACAUGAGAAAUUUUGUUACAUGCACAUAAUAUGUAGUGAUCAAAAUCAGGGUAUUUAAGGUGUCCAUCACCUGAGUACAAUACAUUUUUGCAAGGUAUAGUCACCCUACUGUGCUCUCAAACAGUGAACAGCCAGAUUCCUUCUGUCUUGCUGUGUGUUUGUACCCUUUAACCCAGUUCUCUUCAUCUUUCCCCUUUCCCUCACUCACGGUUCUCAGUCUGUUAUCUCUUUCCUCUCUUUACCUCCAUCUGUUCUUCUUUGUAUUUCACUAAUGUGUUUAUGUACUUCUGAAAAUUACUACAAGGAAAGUCUCAAAUAUUUCAGAAUUAAAUAAUACAUUUACCAAUUAAUAAAGUCUCUACUAACUGUGAUUAAAUUAGUAAAUGGAUUAUUUUUUCAGACCCAAGUGGAGUGGACAUAAGAUUAUUAAUAUAGAAUGGACACAACUUACUAGCUCAUGGAUUCCCCUUAAAUGUAACUUUGCAUAAUAAAACUUACUAUCAAGAUCAAGUAGGUAAAUAUUUCUUCCUUUCAUAUCAGUGUUACAAAGGUCUUCAGUGAGUUUUAUUUUUUUAAUUUCUGAAAAUAUAUAGCACGCUUUCCCAAAGAAGCAAGCACUUUAGUAAAAUAAUUUUUAAAUAUUAUUUUUUCUAGAGAAUGUCCAUUCUACCUUCAAAGCAAAAGUGGGGGGGUGAAAUUUCAGAGUUCGCACCUCACAAAAAUAAAGACAUAGUUUACUAAUAUUCCUUUUUAAGGUUGCUUUCAGUGUUAUAGGUCACUGGAUUCAAGAUAGGUUUGAUUUUACCAAUACUGGGACCAUGUGGUGCUGUAAACAAGGAAAUUAAACUUCCUAAAGUACCUGAUGUUUCUCUCAGAAACAUGUUUAUUUGUUAGGAGAAUUUUAUGAUUACUUUAUUUAGCUAAUAAAUAUCACUAAAGUCAUGAUGUGGCCAUAUUUGAUUCAGGGGCUUGUAAAAGUAAAAAUUGUCUGAAUAUUUAAUAUACAUGAGGCCAAACAGAAGUUGUUUUUAAUAAAAUCUACACCUUGGUCCUGAAAUGAUCAAAAUGAACUAUCUUCAGUGAAUGUAUUGGCUCCAGGGUCUUACUAUUUGAUUGUUUACAAUUUAACUGCCUUUUUUGUUUCUUUUCACACUGGUUUGUAUAUAGAAGCACAUAGUUAGGUGUCCUCGGGUACUCAGUCUCUUCACAUGUGAGUAAAACCUCAUGUCCAGAAACAGCUUGGCUCGGGGGAAAGAACUAGAUCCUGAUCACCUUCAUCUUCCUCUAUUGUCCUAACCCAGUACUUAAUGGACUCAAUUUCUCAAUAUGUUAGUGUAAAGGAGUUAGAUUUGGGGGUAUCUUUCAGCUCUGGACUUCUGUGAAAAAUAUACAGUACAGAAGCUAACAUACUACCCUCUUUAUGUUCUCAAGAAAUAUUUAAUUAAUCUUCUUCAUGAGAAGCAAAAAAUAAUUCAGUUAAAAACUAAAACUUUAAUGGGUAAAUUUUAUAAAAGCACACUGUAGUAGAAAAAGAACAGGGGGAAACAAACAAAUCUUACUAUUCUGGCAGUCAAAACUAGACUGAUGUAUCGUAUGAGAGGGAUAUGUUUCUGAAGACCUCCCUCAACUGGAGACCAAUAUGAAAAAAGAAUGGUGAAGUUUCUGUUUAGCAGCUGAAGUGGUGCCGCCAUGUGGCAAUAGCAAAACAGCAGUUUGAAAUUUGAAACUGAUCAUUUGAUGAAAUUUUUAAUUUGGAGAAAUUAACAUUACUGCAAAGUUUAUUAAUAUUUUUAUACUGCAGACUUUCAAAAUUUUACAACAUUUGACCCACUGAUCUGUUGAUGUUGUUGUGGGGUUUCAUAUAAGAACUACCCUUCCAGACAGAACAUUCCUCAAGAUCUUGAAGAUAAGGAAAGAAUUAUUUAAAAUCAGCUAUAAUUGAGAUGGUGAAAUUUCACGAUUUCUGUAGUUUGUCCACAACAACUAACACCUUCAUUUAACUGUUAGUUGUCUGACUUGUGUAUUUAAAAGGAUUAAUCUCAAUGGAAUUUACAUCUAAAUUUGAUUAUAUCUUUUUACCUCAUAAAAACCUGUGAAACCAUGAAUUUGUUUUUAUCUUUUUUCAUUUUUUAUUUUUACUUUUUAUUACACAUAUUUUUUUAGAGAUUAGGUCUCACUCUGUCGCCCAGGCUGGAGUGCAAUGGUGUGAUAAGAGCUCAUUGCAGCCUCAUACUUGAAGUUGUUUUUAAUAGAAAUAUUUCCUAACCUAUUAAUAUUAUACUAUGUGUUUUUAGUCCCAGAAAAGUCUCAUGAUUAUGUUUAUACCAAGCUAGAACAAGCCUCACAGCAUAAAAUGGAUAUCUGUAAAGAGCAAAUGUAAGGAAAAGAAUGACCAAAUAAUUCAAGUGUCAUUUCCAAUUUUAGCAUUACAUGUUAUAUCCAAAGAGAGAAUUAGUAUCUCAAGAAAGUUAUAUCUUUAUUUGAGGGGUUCUCAUGCUAGGUUAAAACUUUUUAGCGUUCACUCUAGGCUCUUUGGUUUAUGACUUCUAUAAGAAAGCUCUAUAAAAAGUCAAAGUAUAGAUCAUGGAAAUGUUUACAAUUUAUUCAUGAAACCUGCAAACAUAAUAUAGACCAAAGUCUACAAACAAUAGAAAUUAACUCUUGUUCCAGAAAUGUUUCCGUUAAACUAGUUAAUUUGUCUAGUCACUCAAGAAAUGGAAAUAGUGAAUAUACUCCUAUAAUUGUUACCAUGAACUUAAAUUGCUCAAAUCCAUGUUUCCAGAUAAAUAUGGCAGGAAGAAUUAAUGAAAAUAAUAAUAAUAGCUAAGAUUCUUCAAGGGCUUAACUUGUACCAAGUAUUUGUCUAAGCAUUUUAUGCUGUCUUAUGUAAUCAUGAAAAUCACCACCUUCAGGUCAAUGCUAUUAUUUCCUCCACUUGACAAAUCAAGAAACUGAAGCUGAAAAAGAUUAAAUAUCUUGGCCAGAGUCAUUUAAUUAGUAGAUGGCAGAGUUGGAAUUCAAAGCCACGCAGGUCAUUUCAUCACCUUUAUACUUAACCUUUAUGUCAUACUACUUCCUGAAAGGUAAGCCAAAUAUAAACUAUCCAAUUGCAUAAUGAAUACUUGCUACAUAAAUUAUGAAGUCAGUGCCAGGCACUGUGCUAGGGAUAUAGCACUGAAGCAAACAUGCCUGGUCUAUACUCUCCUUGGAGAGGACAGUGCCUAGCACAUGGUAAGUGCUACGUGUUUGUUAAUAAAUGAAUAGAGAAUAAUCUAGUAUGACCCUGAACAAAGAAAUAAUUAUAAUUUUGUAAGAUAAUGAUAAAAAGAAAACCUGACAACAUUAUUAUUCCUGGACUGAGAACUAAGUAAUUGAAAGAGUUGACUAUAGCUUAUUUUCAUACUGCAGAAUAAGCAGUUUACAUGCUUUAGGAAUCUACCUCUUCAAUGCAUCCAAAAAUAUAUAUUUAACCCAGGCUUAUUUGACAGCGCAAAUUUACAUAAUUUGAAUGGUGCCUCACCUCUCAAACCAUGAAAAAUAUCUGCUUCAAAGGCGCAAUAGAUAAAUAUUAAUGUAAAGUCACACAGACAUAAAAUAUCCUGCUUUAUUUCAUCCACAUGUAUCUUCUAGUCCAUAUAUGUUUUUCUGUCUUCCAAUCAUUUAUUCCCCAUUCUUUCAUUUAAUAAUAAAAUAUUGUUUAUCACUUAAAAACUUCGCUUACUACAGAUAGAUUCUGCUUAAUACAUAAAUGUUUAUCAAUAUAGCUGUUUAAAUGAGGUAAUUACAGUAUUUUCUUGAAUCUGAAUAACAAGUGAUUAUUAUAAAUGGGCUGAUGAAGAGACAUUGGAAGAAAUAUGGUGAAAUUUUUCUUUUAGAUAAUGAAAUAUCGCUAGUAUUGAGGUCAUAUCGCUGUAUGUAAAUUUUAAAAGCUAAUUUUGAACUACAGUGUUUUCUUAUUUUUAAUGAUAUGUAACAUAAUAUAAAAUAUAUAUAGUUUUGCCAAGUGAGGAUUCUGGUCAAAGAUACAGUCAUGUUGACAUGAGAAACACACCUUCUGUUAGAGACUAGAUCACAAUAUGUGUAUAUAUAACAAAUAUACAACAAUAAUUAUAAUUGUUUUAUUUUAAAACCUCACUGAAUUCCUACUUUCAAACUAUGGAAAAAGAUGUAUUCUGAUUUUUUUCUUCAGGUACUAGAUCUGUACAUAAAUAAUAUAUUUUCUUAAUCGUGAACUGAAAAAUAGCUCUUUUUUUCUGGGGGGGUGGGGUUCAUGCCUUUUCCUUGCUUAUAUACAGAGAUGUUUGCUAGAAAAUUACCAGUUUCUUCCACCACAUGACACUAUAAGAAUCCUCCAUACCUCUUUAAUUUCAGGGUUACACACCAAGGCUACACCAACAUACCAUUUUUUCUCUCUCUGUACAUGUUUUUCUGAGAGUAUUGUCCCAUUCACAUCCCUAUACAGGCUCAGAAGUUACUCUCCAAGUGCCUUGAAAGUUAGGUGAAAAAUAUAUUUGGGGAUCCAAGAAUUAUUCUUGAAGUUCAAACAAUUAGACUUUGGCUAAAAUGGCUUUUUCUUGAUCAUUAAAAAAUUUAUUUGUAUGCUAUAAUUACAAAUAUUAAAAUCUAAAUAUGUUAGUAUGCUUUGUAUUAUAAAGUUAAAUAUGUUGGGUCUUUUUUUUUUACAUUUGUAUUAACAACAUUAAGCACUAGGCACUAUAGAAAAGAUAAAAGAGAAACAGAGUUUACAAUCAAAUAAUAAUCAUGGAGUCUGUAUCUACAAAGAGAAAUAACUUUCCCACAAAAUAACUACACAAAAAAUUCAAUUAUUAACUCUUGAAAAUAACCAGCUGCUUGAUUGAAUGAAACUUUUGGCUCUAGAACAGUCUCUAUUAAAAAAAAAAACAAUGAACCUAAAGAUAACUGUUUUGAGUUAUCGGCAUAUUAAAAUUUGGUAUCAUUUUAUGAAAUAGAUUUAAUUCUUAUAAUACAGUUGAUUUAAUAUCUAACUUGCCUGUGAUCUUUACUUUUGUCACUUUUCUCUUUAGUGCCACCUUGUGGGUCAGCCAGUAACAAUACAUAUAUAGGGUCUGGAGGGUUUUUUGGUUUUUAACUCAGCUUGUAUUAAAGCUAGACUUACAAAGAAAUGUGAUAAUUCACAUAUGAGACAAUUUUGUUUGUUUUCUCAGAGAAGCAACCACUUCACAAGAAGAUUCUGAAGUUGGCCAUUUUUGAUCCCAGAACAGUUUCUCAUAGAUUAGAAAUAUUGGAGUCUACACAAAAAUCGAUAUUCAUUUACAAGAUCAUCACUAAACUUAUCUUGCAUAACGUAAGUGGCAAGCUCUGACUUGUGAUUUUUUCAUAAGAAAAAUGUUUUUUAACUUAGUAUCAUUUCUACAACAAUGUCCCAUGAUAAUUGAUUCUAGGUGAUUUGAAACACUGCUUAGUCCUGUUUUAGAAAAAGCUCCCAUAUCUGAUUUAGUCUCAUAUGCAGCUUACUUCUAACAUCAGAUUGAAUUUGCAUUGAGUUACCUUACUCGGUUUAUUUUUUAAUUAUGUUGCAGUUACAAGGGAAUAAGGAAAAGUCAGUAUAGUGCAUUGAAAUGUCUUUUUUAAUUGAGACACACAAGAAAUGUGUUAUAGGUUCCCAAACAUUCUUCAUGUAUUAGAGAUGUUAUAAUAAUCUUUUGAAUAGCCAAGUGAAAAGGAAUGGUUUCACCUGAACAUGUUAGAAUUUAUUGCUACAUUUUUUGUGUGUUGUGGUGGAGAAAUAAAUUUUUAAAUCGCAUUUAUGGAGUCAUUUCAGAACAAGUAGAAAACAUGUAAUCUGGUCACUUUGAAUGUGUAAGUGUUUGUAUCUGAACUCCUCCUGCCCUAUUAAGAGUGGAAGGUUGUACUAUAUGUUACUCAAAAAGUAAUUUUCCCCGGAUAUGCAAUAAGACCUCAGAUUUGACCUAUAAGCUGAAUGUCAUAAGCUAUCCAUUAGCUAUGCUGGAAGCACACCACCAACAACAAAAAAGUUUUAAGUAUUUUUAUAGGCUUGCUAAAAUCUGAUUAUAGAACCAAGGCAGUCAAAUACCAUGAGUAAGACUGCAGAAACCCUAGAAUUUAACUCCCUAGUUAUUCUUAAUGAGUGAAUCCUGUGCUUUGUGUCUAAAAGCAAUGUAUUGUGCUUUCCAAUUCAGGAAAUGCAUUUUAAUUGCUAUACUCAUUGAUACAUCAAUCUGUCCAUGACAUUCUGACAUAUAUCCAGUUUCCUAUGGAUUCGGUAUAGGAGCAAAUUAAAAGAUGCACUAGAAUGGUAACAUUUAAUCUAUAAUCCUCCAUUUAACCUUUAUGUGGCUGUCACAGAACAAGUCCUGUUUUUAGAGUUGAACCAAAAAACAAACAAAACAAAACAAAACAAAACAAAACAUGCACACACACUAGAGAAACGGCUUUUUUUUUUUUAACCUGGGGACCAUGAAAAAGUUUUGACCAUUCCCCGACCCCCAUGCUUCAACUUUAGCUUUGAUAGUUAAAGUAUGUCUUCCUUCAGUUUAAGUUGAACAAACUUCUGCAUAAGACCCUCCAGAAAACCUCUGAACACAUACAGUUUUGGGGGCAAUGGGGACUGAACUAUGUACAAAUAGGUGAUACUUCAGCACACAAUUCCUGGGAUAAAUUUUAUCCUCUUCUCAUUUUUAUUUUUAUGAACUAUAUGGGGUUUUUUAAACAAGUUACAAGAAGCAAAACACAUUUUACCUUUACUCUGUUACAUAUUUCAAAUUAAGCAGAUCCUAAUUAAUUGGGUUACAUUAUGUAACAAUAGCCUUUUUAAUAUCAAAUGGUUUUUAUGAUCUGUCUUCAAUUUUUCUUAAAAUGAGACUGCACUAAAGAUUUUCUUGACAUUUCUGAGAAUUUCAUUUUCAGUUUCAAAAAAUUAUUUAUUCCUUUAAUCUUUCAAUGUGGAAAAGUAAUGAAUAUUGAUUCAUUUUUAGAAGCGCUAACAUCCAACUAGGUAAACUUCAUGAGUGAUGGCUAUUAAUGUUCUCUUUCAUCUUAUAGACAGAAAAUCAAAGCUAUUUAAAGUAAAGGAUUUGUUUCAAAUCAAUGUAUGUCCACAAAUUAACAUUAAUGUUUACAAUACUUUCUGUGAUAAUUGUGUCUUACUUGGGUGUAUAUAUGUCUUUAUAUCUAUCUGUAAAGAUAUAGUUGCAAGUAGAUGAGAGACGAAUGUUCAUGUUUCUAUAUGGUCUGAAUAAAAGUGUUAUCACUAUGCUAACUUGCAGUGUUAUAAAAUGCACCAAUGGCUCUUUGUGCCACUCCUUCAUUUUCAGUGGUUACCAAGAUAGUCAAAUUAAACUGCUGAUGUGAUAAUCAUCCAAACAUUUAAUUUUAACACUAUGAUUAUAGAAUUUUUUUAUUUCUAUGAGAUUUACCUAUAGUAGCUUUCUGUUUAAUGUUCAAUGUUCUAUAGGAGUUUCCUUUUAAAUGUUCAGAGCAGGAGCUAUACCCUCUAGGAUAUGCAAAUAAUCAAGUCUUAGCGACCUUAUAAAAUAUAAUCCACAUUAUGAAUCAAACAGAAUGAGCCUUCAGAUCUGAUUGCCUAAGGCUCAAAAUGUUAAUGCUCCUGAAAUGCCUUGUACAUAUUAGCUAGUUGAAAUUGCAUUAAAACAAGAGAACGAAUUGUAGUCUUGACCUCAGUCUCAUUUCACCAGCCUUUGCCUGCUACUGCCAACCUGAGAGGGGAGCUUCUGCUCUGCAGAUGGAUGGACAGCUGCUGAUCUUCACCUCCUGUCUGUUCCCACAAUUCUAAAAGAAUUAGGCCUGAGGAACUUAAUCUUCUGGUGUUCCAUUGUGAACUGACUUUAUUAAAUUUUUUCCAAAGUUCAGUGUUCUUCAGUUCUUUCUCAGAGUACAAAUUGAAGAGACACAGAGCCAGUUCCAAAUGAACUGAAAUUGUUUUGUAAAAAAUUAAUUCAAACAAUAAUGCCAUGGAAAAGCACUUUGAAUUUUUCAAUUCCCAGGCUAUUGAUUCUAAAAAAGAAACAAUUCUAAAUUAUCCACAUGUUCUCAUUUAUUAGUCUAGAGCUCUUGCCCAAAGAAUUAUUUGCCAAGGUAAUAUAUAGAACAUCAGGAUGAUUUACUUGCUUUUCUAAUACCAUUUUGCCCACAAACUCUAUGGAACUGAAAGCAUGUCAGCAGCAAAAGAAGGUCCACUAGCAGCUAUAAAAGAGAGCUUACUAAUGAACAAUAAAUAUCUAAAAGUAAAGGGAAAGGAGCCAAAUUCCAUUUUCAAAAGCCAAAAUUCUGCAGUAGGUAAAUAUCACAGAUAGCAUUGCUUAUUAUUUAUAAUCACUACUAAGAGUAAUCUAUCAUUUCUUUAAAUCCUCAAAAUAGGUCUCUGCCAGCCACAUUAACUGCCUGCAGAAAAGUUUGUUAUGACUGCCUGGUUUUGUAAAGUCCAGACAACUUUACACUAAGCUGAAUAAUGUUCAUUUACUCAAAAGCUAGUCUAAAAUUGUAGAGUUAAUGAACACUAAACCAAAGUUAGUGCUUUAACUGAAAGAUAAUUUACUGUACCCUUUGGAGUCCAGUCCGGUACCAUCAAGAUCUGGGAAAAUACAACUGGUAAGCACUUUAACUUUUUCUCAGAAAAUCAUUAUCUACUUCCUUCAUACUUACUUAACAUCUCAAGAAAAGGAAAGAAAGGGGGAAAAUAUCUAAAAUUUUAAUCUAAAUCUUUCUUAAACUGUGCAUUUCAAAUACAUAAAAUACUGUGUGAAAGGGUGUUAAAAGUAGUAUCUAGAAAUGGCUUCCAACUCUAUAACUUGGUGUAAGCCUUGUGGAAAGUAAUUUACCAACGACUGUCAAAAUUCACAAAUCUAAAGACUGUAGCAAGACUCUUGAGAUACCUUGUAACUAUUGGCAUGAUUCCUUUCUACUACAAUGAAAGUUUCUUCAGGGCAGGAAACACAUAUAUUCAUUUCUGUAUCCACAGAGUAAGCAAAGAUUCUGGGACAUACUGUCCUUCAUACGCGUAUUUCGAAUGAACGAAGGCUCCAUUUGGUAGUAUUUAUCAUCAGCUUCUUGGCCCUUACUACUCCCUUCUUUCAUUUAAAGCUUAUGUCUUAUGUCCUCUUCCCUGCCCAGCACUCUUUUUGGCUGUAUGCCUGAUAAGGGUGCUCUUCAGCUUGGCCUCCUUUGACUCUAUUCCUUCCCUGUUCUACUUUUAGAGUCUCAAUAAACUCUUGUUUCUUAUAGUGGAAAAAUGCAUUUAUAAAUCAAGACUGGGCAUUAAAUUUGCUCACUGCUGCUCAGGCAUUGUUGCUCCCGUGUCCAGUUGCUCCCAGUGAGCCACUCUAUUGGAGUUGGUCCCACAGUCAAGACCCUACUUUUCCCUAGCUCUAGCCUAGAAACUUGUCACCAGAGCAUUAAUCUACAUUUUAGAGAGGAUUACCUACCAAAAAAAAGUAUCAUUUUUCCUGAAUAAGUAAUAUGUUCUAGAAUCAGUGUGUGAUCCUCUCAGCUUCCUUUUUGGAAACCAAAUGAUGGUUCUCCUGGAGAAAGAAUUUGAGUAGAUGUUGAAACAAUUUAGGCUAUACAAUAGAGUCCUACUUGAUAGAAGAGUUAGAUUUUGAAAUCAGCAUAUAAGGUAAGAAGCACCUAAUGUCAAAUUUGCACUUGAAAAAAAUUCCUAAACUGUGCACACAUUGCAGUAAACCAUGAUUUUGUGGAUCCCUUCCUAUACAGCAACGUGCAUAUAUAGAUGUGCAUAGAAAGUAUGUGCCAUCUUACAAUAUUUUCAGUAUUUUAAUUAAGUUGAAUUUAAAUAAAUAAAAUACUCACAUGCUAUAACUCUGCUGUUUUAAGAACACUGUUACCAAUUCACUACAUUUACAUGAUGCCUAAAUAGCCAGCCAAUGCAGAAAGGUCAGUUAGAAAAUGAGGCCAGUGCUUGCCUCUCUUUCUUUCCAUUGAAAGGGUGUUACUGAGUGUCAGGGUCCACACAAAGCGGGAGCUAGAGUGGGCAUGAAGGCAGUUUGAUGGGAGUCAGGGUCUAUAGAGGGAGGGCUGCUGAGCAGGGCAGAGGCCUGGUAGAAUCAGAUGCUUGGCUCCACACAGGGAGUCCACUUUCCUAAUGCUGGAGAAGGUACAAACAUGGAAAGAGGAAAAGUUGAGAUGAAUGAUGUGUUAUUAGAUUGGAAUUGGAAGAGUGGAUAUAUAAAUAUAUAUGACAUGUAAAUAAACAUGGAUUUAAGUGUGUGUCUGUAUGUAUCCAUUGAAGGGACCUGGGAGCAACAAUGCCUGAGCAGCAAUGAGCAAGUUUAAUGCCCAGUCUUGAUUUCUAAAUGCUUUCCACUAUAAGAAACAAGAGUUUAUUGAGACUCUGAAAGCAGAACAGGGGAAGAAUAAGGAGCUUUGAACAUGUUGGGCCAGAAGUUACCAAGAAUAACUGUAAAAUGUGCUGGGAAUGCAAUGUCCUGAGAUAAGGAAGAACUGCCUGAAACAGCCUGGAUCUUAUUCCUGUACUUCCUAGGGAAUGUAACAUCUCAAGUUAAAGAGGAACUGCCCGGAACAGCCCGGGGAUUGUUCCUCUCUCCUGAGAAGGAAGAUUACCUCCAAAGCUCAUCCACUGAGUCACACUGCCCCUGUGGUGGAGGGCGGGCUGCCUUUCCAGGUUCCUCAGCUGUGGUGUAACUGAAGCAGGCACAAUCAAGACUCCAUCUGCUCGAGGCAGCUUUCUCGAACCUUGGGGAACCUACUCACAAUGGAUCACAGGCUUCUUUUGUUUUGUUUCUUGCUGCCUAUCUUGGGAAGCAAAAAUCAGCUGAGUGAAGAUGAGGAAGAAGGUGUUAAAGGUUUGAAGAAAAAAGGAAAAGGAUAUACUAAUCUAAGAGGACAAGCAAUACAUUCCUCCUUGCUCCAGAAUGCAACAUACAUGUAUCCUUUUCUGUACUAUUUUUUAUUAAGAAUUCAUACUUAAUUCCACUGACUGCCACUCAAUUUUAAUGUACAGUAGGGAAUUCCUGUACUAUGUAUUAUGAAUCCAUUCCUUUGAAUUUCAUUUAUAAUACUUCAUGACUGACACCUGGCUUUCCACCAAGACUCAAUUUUCAUAGCAAGCCUCAUCAUCAUAAGCCCCCAAAUUAACAGGAUGAGGAGGAAGAAUUGGCAGGCUAAAGAAGAUGAUUAUAUCAAUUAAUGCAGAAAAAGCAUUUGAUAAAAUCCAAUAUUCAUUUGUAAUUAAAAACUCUCAGCAAGUUAGGGAUAGGAAUUACUUCAACUUAAUGAAGAGUGUCUUUAAAAACCUUAUUUUCAUCAGUUAUAACAAAUGUACCACUCUGGUGGUGAAUGUUGCUAAGGAGGGAAGCUAUACAUGUGUGGGGAAAGGAGAUGUGUGAGCAAUUUCUGUACCUUCUACUCAAUCUUCUGUGAGACUAAAAUUGCUGUAAAAAAUAAAGUUCAUUUUUUUAAAAACCUACAGCUGUCAUUCUUAAUGCUGAAAGACAGAAUGCUUUUCUCUAAGAUAGGGAACAAGGCAAAGAUUCAGUUCUCACCACUCCUAUUCAACACAGCACUACAAGUUCUAGCCACUGAAAUGGGGGUUGGGGGGAAGCAGAAGAAGAAAAGAAAUAAAAUGUAUACAGUUUCAAAAGGAAGAAUUAAAAUAGUCCCUGUGUGCAGAUGACAUGAUUGUCUAUUUAGUAAACCCAUGGAUUAUACAAAAAUAAAAUUCCGAGAACUUAAAAAGUGAUUUCAGCAAGAUCACAGGAUAUAAGAUCGAGAUGAAAACCAAUGUCAUUUCUAUAUACAGUAAGUCCUCUCUCUUAAUAUCAUCAAUAGGUUCUUGGAAACUGACUUUAAGCAAAACAACAUAAAACUAAACCCAAUUUUUCAUCAUCAAAGUUAUAACAAAAUGAUGUUGAACAAAACUACAUUAUUUCAGGACCUGCCAUACAUCAUGUCACUUAAAAUUACAGUUUCUAAGAACCUACCAAUGGCAUUAUGUGAGAAUUACUGUAGUAACAAUAAACGUAUGAAAACCAAAAUUAAAACACAUUUACAAUCAACCCAAGGAAAAUGAAAUAUUGAGGUAUAAACUUAAUGUUUUAUGAGGCAACUUAAUGAGGCAAAAAAAUGUAUACUAUCUGAUGCUGAAAAUUGCAAAUGCUGAUGAAAGAAAUCAGUGAUGACAAAUAAACAGAGAGACAUACUAUAGUCACAAAUUGGAAGACUCAACAUAGUAAAAAUGUCAAUUUGCCUCAAAGUAAUCUGUAGGUAUAAGACAAUUAUCAAAAUUCAGGGAAGUUUUUUGUAGGCAUUGGCUAGCCUAUUCUAAAAUUUAUAUGAAAAGCACAAACCUUAGAAUAUCUAAGAUAAUCUGAAAAGAAGAAUAAAGUGAGAGGAAUCACUCUACCUGAUAUUAAGCUUUAUAAUACAGUAACAGUACUCAAGACUGUGUGGUAUUUGCCAAGGCAUGGACUCAGAUCAAUGGAACAGAAGAGAAAACACAGGAAUAGACCCAUAUAAACAUUUCCAACUGAUUGUUUUCCAAUCGAUUUGUGACAAAAGUGCAGAAGUAAUUCAGUGAAGGAAGGAUAGCCUUGCAACAAGUUGUGCUGAAGCAGUGAGCACCCAUAGGCAAAAAGAAAAAGAGAACAUCAACCUUAACCUCACAUCUUAUACAAAAAUUAAUCCAAAAUUGAUAAUAGACUUAAAUGUAAAAUAUAAAACAUUUCACAAAAAUAGAAGAAAGUCUUCAGGAUCUAGGACUAGGCAAAUAAUUCUUAAAUGAUAUCAAAAGCAUAAUUCAUAAAGGGAAAAGUUGAUAAAUUAGACCUCAUUAAAAUUAAAAACUUAUGGAAAAUGUGCUGUUAAGAGGAUAAAAAAUAUAAGCUACAGACUGAAAGAAAAUAUUUGCAAGCCACAUAACUGACAAAGGACUAGUAUCUAGAAUAUAUAAAGAAUUUUCAAUACUCAGUUGUAAAAACAAAAUAAUUCAACCAGAAAAUUGAUAUGAGCAAACAUGUCACUGAAGAGGAUGUACAGAUGGCAAAAAUGCAUGUAAAAAGAUUUCAACUUCAUAAACCGUUAGGGAAAUGUGAAUUAAGCAACCAAUCAGAAUGGUUAAAAUGUUUAAAAAAUAGUAACACCACCAAAUAUUGGCAAGGAUAUAAAGGAAUCGAAUCACUCAUGCAUUGCUAGUAAAAAAUGUAAAGAGGUACAGCCACACUGGGAAACCUUUUCAUGGUUUUCUAAAAACUAAGCAUGGAGUUACCAUACAUCCCAGCAGUUCUACUCAUCAGCAUUUAUCCCAGAGAAAUAAAAAUUUAUGUUUACACUAAAACCUAUAUAUGAAUGUUCAUAAUAGCAUUUUUCAUAGUAGCCAAAAAUUGGAACCGUCUCAGGUGUCCUACCAUGGGUGAAUGGUUAAACAAACUAUGGUGCAUCUAUAUCUACCAUGAAGUAGAACUCAGCAAUAAAAAGGAAUGAACUAUUCAUACACCUUAUAACUUGGAUGCAUCUCCAGGUAAUUGUGCUGAGUGAAAAAAAAAAAAAAAAGCCCCAAUUCCAAAAGGUUAUAUACUCUAUGAUUCUACUUCUGCAAUGUUUAUUAAAUGAUAAAAUUACAGAAGUGGGAAAAUGAUUAGUGGUUUCCAGGGGGUAUAUACAGUAAGGGUGAGAGGGCCGGAAGAGUGCAGUUUUAUAAGGGCAACAUAAGGGACCCUUAUGGUGAUGGGACUGUUCUGUAUCUUGACUCUGUUGGUAGUCACAUGAAUCUACACAUGAUAAAAUUGCAUAGAAUUAAACAUAUAUACACACUCAAAUGAAUGCAUGUAAAACCGGUAAAAUCUGAAUAAGGUAAAUGGAUCAUAAUCAAUGUCAAUUUUCCAUUUGUGAUAUUAUACUAUAGUUAUGUAAGAUGAUGUUAGCAUUGGGAGAAACUGGGUGAUGGAUAUACAGAAUCUUUCUGUAUUAUUUCUUGUAAUUGCAUAUGUAUCUCAAUGGUCUCAAAAUAAAAAGUUAAAUAAAUAAGAGAGACCAAAAAGUGGCUUUCCAGUGGAGAACUGAGAUAAUCUGAGCAUCUUAUGCUCUAAAUAAAGUAUGCAAUAAAAAUAAAAUAUAUAUAUAUAUAUAUAUAUAUAUCUGUAAGUCAUAUUGAAAGUUACACACCAUUUUGGGGAAAAGUCAAGUAAAAACAGCAGUAUACACUAUUAGCUUUAACAUUAGGCUUUGAGACUAUCUCUGGCCUUUUCUCUGGCCAAAGGGAAAGAAAUCCUCAGAUCUACUCUGAAGCCUUUCUUAGACUGAGAAGCCUCUGAUAGCAUUUCAAAGCAGCUUAGUGCCAAACAUUCUUUGAGCAUCCAGUAAGAGUCUGUUUGCAACUUAAUAGAAAGAUUUUUUAAGUUGCCUUUUGACUAUACACAAUGAGUUCUCUUUUUAUCUGGUUCCUGAUUACUCUCUGACCUUUAUCAUACAAAGAAAGAUCUUUCAGCCUAUUCCAAUCUGUACUAAAAUUCAGAUAAGAGGAAGCAUCCUCAAAGCUGGAUUAUCUGACUCUGAAGCCAGCGUGAUCCUCCUACUGCCUUCAGCAGCUUUUCGUAGUGUUCAGCCAGAACUGACAUUUCUACAUUCUACACUGCCAGCCUUUAAUGACCUCUCUCAUCUCCAAACUUCUAUAACAAUUAUUACCUAUACUAUGCAAUAAAAAACACUCAUUUUAAGUAUAAGUUUAAUGCCAUGUUGACAAAUGAAUUCAGCCCUGUGUGACCAUUGUCAUAAUCAAGUAACAGAACAUUUCCAUCACCCUAAAAAGUUCCCUUGGCCUCUUGCUCUUUUCCCCAGCCCCAGGCAACCAUUAUUUUGCUUUUUAUCACUAUAGUUUUGUCUGUUCUAGAAUUUUACUUAAGUGAAAGCAAAAGUGAAUAUUCUUUUGUCAUCUGGCUUCUUUAAAUUCUUCAGCAUAAUUUUUUAUAUUUAUGCAGUUCUUCUUAUCAGUUUAUUUUUAUUGGUGAGUAGUAGUCUUUUGUUAUAUAAGUUAUAUAAGUGGUAUUAUAUUUUGUUUAUUCAUUUACCUGUUCUUGGAUGUUGAGUCACCGCAAGUUUUGGACUAUUACAAAUAAAGCUGAUAUGAAUAUUCAUGUAUGAGUCUUUGUAUGCCAUCAUAUGCUUUCAUUUCUCUUGGGUAAAUAACUAGAAGUGGAAUGACUGGAUCUAAUGGUAAGUGUAUAUUUGUUUAAUAUACACUUUAUAAAUACUCGAGCAUUUAUAAAGUAUUUUACAUUCCCAUCAACAACACAUGAGAGUUAGCAUUCUUGCUAACACUUGCUUAUUCUUUUUAUUGUAGCCAUUCUGGUGUGUGUAUAGUUAUCUAUCAUAUGGUUCUAAAUUACAUUUUCCUGAUGACUAAUAAUGUUGCACAUCUUUGUAUGUGCUUACCAGCUUCCAUAUGUCUUUUUAUUUUUUGAGAGUUCUCACUAUAUUUCCCAGGCUGAUCUGAAACUCCAGGGCUCAACCAACCCUCCUGCUUCAGUCUCCAGAGUAACUGGGAUUACAGGAACCAGAGAAUGGAAAAUUACCACAGAGAAGACAAGAAACUUCUAGAAAGACUAUGAAACCUUGAAGACAAAACUGAAGGAUUUAUAGCCUUGUAGGACUGUGAGAUGGUAGAGUGCUUUUAUUGUUUUUCCCUCUGAAGGUUGAGAUUUUGAAGGAAAAGUAGUAUGUGGAAAGUGAGUAGCUGGAGAGAUGGGUAGGUAGAGAGCCUCCAUCUCUCCAGCUAUUCAUUCUUAUCUAUAUCUAUAUCUAUCUACCUAUCCACCUAUGUAAAGAGAUGGAGAGAUAGACCUCUCCCUCUACACACACACACACACACACACACACAUACACACAAACAUAGAUAUAAAACCAAAGAAUGUGAAUGAAUUUCUAAACCAUGGGUAUGGUAAGUCAGGAAUGUAUUUAUGCCGCACAACUAAUGAGAUAUGGACUAUACAUUAUUUGACUUCUUCAAGAGAAAUUUAUAUUGAAUAGGAUAAGCUGGAGAAAAAAAGAAUGCCCAGAUAAAAUUUGACAAUUUUUACUCUAGAGCAUCAGUUUUUCCUGCACCCCAUAAAAGAUGUUGUAAAAUUAUUCACAUGCCUUUCACAUUCUUGUCACAUCUAAAAUUCUAAUAUAAGUAUAAAUGGUUACAAAGGAUGUAAAUUUUUUGUGUAUUUUAAAUAAUGACAUUUAAAAAUAGAAUCGUGUCUACACAUUUAAUGGGAGUGAAAUCUAUUUAAAUACCAUAAUAAUUUGAUCAACAAGUUCUUCGUUUGCAGUCAGGAUUUUAUAUCAUUCCUUUUUUUCUCUGAACUUACAUUUUCAUUUCCCCAUCACCAAAGAAUUUGAUUUUAAUGUAAUAUAUUGUUAUGUUUAAAGUAUUGAUCAACCUGUCAUACUGCCUUCAAUAAAAUAUGUAUAUAAACUUAAUUUUUAAUUUUUAAAAAUUUUAUGGGGACAUUAAUUAUGGCAAUGUUUCUUCUGGAUUGAAUUAUCACUAAAAUUUUUAAUCAAUCAAAUCAUAAAUAUAUUUAAAAUUAGUAUAAUUAGCAAACAAAAAAGUAAAAUUUUAUUGGGAAUUUGUCUCUUAUUGAAAUGAUGGUACUUUUUGUUUAAUUAGUUCAUGUAGCCAUGGAUGAUGAUUAUUUUUAUCUACAUUGAGGGGCCAGUGGAAAUUAAUAGCCAAAAGAAUGGUUAGGCCAUUAUUAGGAGCUGAACUUACAAACAGCGUUGUUAAAUGCAUAAUUUACAAUACCCAACUCUAAUAUAAUAUCCUUUGGAAAAGCUCAUUUGCUCCUAUGUGUGCUUCAGGUUGAAGGCUGCUGUUAUGAAGUAUGUCAGUGUAACAUAAAAUGAUGGUGAAGAUCCAGUAGGCAACAUAAGAAAGUCACUAGGUAGGGGGUCAGUAACAUCAUAGUCUCCAAAAUCUAUACACCAAUGUGCAAACAAUGGAUAAUAACAUAAAUCCAGUAGCAUAGGGUGAUAAAUAGAGCCUCAUACUGAAUACCAGUCUUAGUAAAUGGUGUGAGAUGAUGGAAAGCUAUGAUGUAGUCUACAUGAACAGAGAUAUUUGAGGGAAGGCAGGGUAGGACUAUAUGUUAUACAUACCCUACACACCUGGUCUGUGGGCGAGUGUUAAAAAUACAGAAGCCUGGUCUCUAUGACCUAAUUAAUCAGGUUCUCAGAGGAUAAAGCUAAAAAUAUUUUCUACAAUAAUUCCAGGCUUCAGGUCUGUCAUAUUUGAGAACAACUUAGUGCUUGGAAAAGAGAACUCAAUAAUUUCAAAAGAAAAAAAUAGCCAUGAAGGCUUUAAAAGUGAAGAUAAAUCAAGAUGGUUGAAAAGGUCUUAAAACAGUCUGAUGAUGCAAAUAUAAAAUAUUCCAAUGAACCAGAAAAGGGGGAAUUCUCAAAAGCAGUGCUGUUACAUAGAAAUAUAAUGUGAGCUACAUAUGUAACUCUAAAUUUACUUGUAGUCACAUUUCAAAAAGAGGAAACAAGUGAAAUUUAUUCUAAUGGCAUAAUUACUAAACCAAUAUUUGCAAAAUAUUAUUAUUUCAACAGGUAAUAAAUAUAAAAAUUAUUAACAAAAUAUUUUGCCUUCUUUUUUAAAAUGAAUUCUUCAACAUCUGGUAUAUAUUUUGCACUUUGCAGCACUUUUCAAUUCAGAAUAGCCACAUUUUAAGUAUUCAAGAACUGCAUGCAACUGGACAGCACAGGUUGAAAGAAAAUAGAUGACAAUAGAAGGAACUCUCUGAAGUUCAGAUUUAAAAACAAGAAACUUGUACAAAAUGUAGAAAAAAAGCAUACUGUACUUUAAGAUACUUUUGGCAGCAAGUAAAAGCUUCAAACCCCAAACCUCAAAAAAGCUUAAAGGGGAAAGCCAGUAGCAUUCAUCGCAGGAAGUCCUGAAGUAGGGCAGACUCAAUCAUGUCAUCAAAGACCAGGUUCUUUUCAUGUUUUUAUUCUGCCAUCUGGGUGUUGCCUGUAUCCCAAGGCUGGUAACACAAUGGCAGCAGUAGUCCCAGAUGUCACAUCUUGAUAUAACAGCCUUCAGAAGUAGAAGAAAGAGAGCGUCUCUUCUUGUGUGUCUCUCCUAGUAGUGAUAAAACUUUGCAGAGACUGCUCCCAAUAGGAUUUCCUUCAUAUCUCUUUAACCAGAGUUGAGUUAAAUGCCAUUCCUUAGCUAAUCACCAUCAAGAAGUGGACAUGGGGUGUUACGAUUUUGGUUAAGGAGAAGUAGCCAUUCUCCAACCUGUCUCUCCCAUUGAAUGCGGUAAUAAAAACCAGGACAAAACACAUAGGACAAAAUGCAAGUAUCUACUUGAGUGAGUAGUACCAGUCAGAUUGGGAAAGGAGAUGGGAUUCAAAUCACCUCUGACCAGCAGUGAGUUAUCUUUUUUGCCCUCCAUUUUUUCACUGCCUGAUCUCAAGGCAACCCAAAAGCCAGAUGUGAACACUGGUGUGGAUGGAAACAUCUCAAGAAGCAGCCCACUACUUCCCGCUCAAGAAGCAGGAGAGUCUACUGGCAGCAACAGUCAUGGCAGCAGCACCCUACAGCACCCAAAACAGAGGGCUUGUCCAAAAUAUAGAAAAAAGAAUACUGUACCUUAAGAUAUUUCUGGCAUAAAUUUCUUCUCUGAGCAGAGGAGCGGUGGUCCCAAGAGGGUGGCAAGAACCCCCACUAAUUUUUUCUCUCUCUAGCUUCUUGAGGCUUGGCCGUGGAGUUGGAAAUGUGGCAGAGCAGGGUAAAUAAAGCCCCAGCUUUCCAACCGCAAAAAGGGAAUGCAGGGAACUAUAAAUUGCUGGGGAGACAGUGGAGAAGAGGGAGCUCAAAAAAGCAACUUUGAUAACCAAAUUCAAAGAAAGUCUUCAUGACCCAAGAUUAUGCAAAGAUGUCUUAGAUUUGAUACCAUACAAUCUAUUUAAAAAUUGAUGAACAUUAUCUUUUUAAAAAAUGUGUUCUAUGAAAGACACUGAAAUGUAAUGAUGAAAUAAUGUGUAGAUUGGUGAAAGUAUAUUUAAAUUAUACAUCUGACAAAGAAUUUGUAUCCAGAAUAAAUAAAGAACUGUUAUAACUCAAUAACAAAAUAACUCUAAAAAUGGGCAAGAGACUUGAACUUCAUCACAGUGGACAUAUGUAAAGCAAAUAAAUGCAUGAAAUAUGUUCAACAUCAUUAGCCACUGGGGUAAUGCAAAUUAAAACCAUGACAAGAGACCAGUACAUACCUAUGAGAAUGACUACGUUGAAAAAAACCUAACGAAAAGACUGAUGAUGAUACCAUAAGCAGGUGAACAUUCAGAGCAGCAGGUACUCUUGUAAAUUGCUGAUGGCAACAAAAACUGACUCAGCCACUCUGGAAGACUGUUUGGCAGCUUCUUAUGAAGUUAAAUAUACACUUACUCUAUGGCCAUUAAUCCUAGUCCUGAGUGUUUGCCCUAGGAAAAUGCUCAUACAAAAACUCACACACAAACGUUUACUACAGCUCUAUUCCUGAUUCCCCAAAUUAGAGACAACUGAAAUGUCUUUCAGUGUGUAAAUGAAUAAAUAACAAAAGGAUAAACAAACUGUGGUACAUAUUUAUAAUAAAUACUACUGUGCAAUAAUAAAGUAUUAAUGCACACAACUUGGAUAUAUUUCAAAGGCAUUAUGCAUAGUGAAAGAAGCCAAUCUCAAAAGGUUAUACAAUAUAGAUUCCAUUUACAUGACACCCACAAAAAGAUGAAAUGAUAGUAAAAAAAACUAGAUCAGCAGUCCCCAGGAGUUAGGGAUAAAGGGGAGUAUGUGACUACAAAGGGAUAGCACAGUGAUGUGUUUUGAGGUGACAGAACUGUUCUGUGUCUUGAUUGUAGUGGUGGUGACAUCAGUCUACACUUAUUAAAAUUUGUGGUAUUGCCCACCAAAAAAGUCCUUGUAUGUUAACUGUUUUAAGUGGAAUCGAUUAGACACAAGGCUGCUUGUAUUGGGAGUGGGGUGCAGGGUUGGAUUGGGGAUAAUUAAAACAAAUAGGAGUCCUUUUAGGAAGAAGGAAGAGAGGAAUGAAUAAUACACGACCACCAGUGAUCACUAUAGGCACACAAUAAUGGACAAAUGAAGGUAAGAGAGUGGCUUGCGGCUGUUAAAAAUUGAGACAAUGGCUAAAUUUCUAGAUUGAAUCGAGAUGUGUGAAAAAAUAAUGCCCGGAUAAAUUUGUUUAUUUUUUAAAAUUGAUUGGAGAGGCCAGGCGCGGUGGCUCAUGCCUGUAAU
rnacentral:lncRNA from 1 species